AUAGCUAUCAGGGAACAUGUGCGGUAGAGACCUCCUAGGGUACAUAAUAUAUUAAAAUGUGCUUGUCAACUUCACAACUACAAGUUCUUCCCAUUCCCCCCAAGCAGUCAGAUUUUGGCUCCCAAAUAUGCAAAUCUUUCUGCUCAUUCAGAGAUACAAAACCAAAAUGCACCCAUGUGGCACCACUCAAGACCUCAGAUAUACAAGUUCAUUGCCAAGACGAUUGCAAGGCGAUUAUUGCAUCAUAACAAACCAAGCAAUGACCUCAAGCGAUGGCAAGUUAACAGGAGAGAUCAGAAACCCAGAAGGAAAUUGCAAAAGUAUUGAGAUCAGAAGAAAGGAAGAGAAAUCGUUGCAGAUCAAGUAUCUUCAGUGUAGACAAGGGGCUAGAGGACCAAAGGAAAGUUUCACAUCUGUGGAAAAACAGCCUAGCCGACCUUAUACAAGCAACUUCCAGAUCAGAUAUCUUCUAGAGAAAACAGAAGUGGAGAAGUAAGAGUUGCAUAACCAAAGAAAAGCAAUUACAAACCUCAAAUAUAAUCCUCCAGUGCCAAUGAUGACUGUUUGCAUUCCAGAUCUGUCAUCAUAACAUAAUUGGUCUCGCUACAGCCUCUAGUGGACAAAAGUGAUCCAUCGCGCAUGAUCUCUGUGUACAGGAAGCUCAAAGAAAUUCCUUUGGAGUCUGGCCAAUUACCUUUGGAAUAGUUCUGCUUGGGGCAAUUCACACAUCCACAACUUUAUUUCAGGCCACCACCCUUGAACGCAGCUGGGGCAGGUCAGCCUAAGUCUACGAUACCAGCCUUUGAAUAUGUAUUUUCUCUGUUAACCAACUUCAAGCACAGAGCAGGCCCUAACAAUUUAUAUUAGAUAAUAUCCCAGAAUUCAUUUGUGUUUUUCAGUGAACACAUUCAGAAGAUUCUGGUUACAGAACUAACAUCAUUAUUUGUAGAACUGUAUUCUCUCUUACGAUCUGCUUUUAAAUUUUGUAUUGCUUGAUCUCAUUUUACGAGGGUUGAAUGAAAAGUAAUGCCUCCACCUUCAUUACUUGGGUUUGGAUGGGAAUAUUUUAAUAAAUCAGACACAAAAAUAA